AUUGAACGCUGGCGGCAGGCCUAACACAUGCAAGUCGAGCGAGCGGCGGACGGGUGAGUAAUGUAUGGGGAACUGCCUGAUAGAGGGGGAUAACUACUGGAAACGGUGGCUAAUACCGCAUACCAUCGGAUGUACCCAUAUGGGAUUAGCUAGUAGGUGGGGUAAAGGCUCACCUAGGCGUCGAUCUCUAGCUGGUCUGAGAGGAUGAACAGCCACACUGGGACGGAGACACGGUCCAGACUCCUACGGGAGGCAGCAGUGGGGAAUAUUGCACAAUGGGCGCAAGCCUGAUGCAGCCAUGCCGCGUGUAUGAAGAAGGCCUUAGGGUUGUAAAGUACUUUCAGCGGGGAGGCGUUACCCGCAGAAGAAGCACCGGCUAACUCCGUGCCAGCAGCCGCGGUAAUAC
rnacentral:rRNA from 1 species